rnacentral:rRNA from 2 species
UCGACGGUAACAUUGAUGCUUGCAUCAGAUGACGAGUGGCGCACGGGUGAGUAACGCGUAUACAAUCUACCUUUUACAGGGGGAUAGCCUUUAGAAAUGAAGAUUAAUAUCCCAUAGUAAGUAGUUUUGGCAUCAAGACAACUUUAAAGUUUCGGCGGUAAAAGAUGAGUAUGCGUUCUAUUAGUUAGUUGGUAAGGUAACGGCUUACCAAGACCACGAUAGAUAGGGGCCCUGAGAGGGGGAUCCCCCACACUGGUACUGAGACACGGACCAGACUCCUACGGGAGGCAGCAGUGAGGAAUAUUGGACAAUGGGCGCGAGCCUGAUCCAGCCAUGCCGCGUGCAGGAAGACUGCCCUAUGGGUUGUAAACUGCUUUUAUACAGGAAGAAACCUUUUCACGUGUGAAAAGCUGACGGUACUGUAAGAAUAAGGAUCGGCUAACUCCGUGCCAGCAGCCGCGGUAAUACGGAGGAUCCAAGCGUUAUCCGGAAUCAUUGGGUUUAAAGGGUCCGUAGGUGGAUAAUUAAGUCAGGGGUGAAAGUUUGCAGCUCAACUGUAAAAUUGCCUUUGAUACUGGUUAUCUUGAAUUAUUGUGAAGUGGUUAGAAUAUGUAGUGUAGCGGUGAAAUGCAUAGAUAUUACAUAGAAUACC